UACGGGGGGGGGCAAGCGUUGUUCGGAAUUACUGGGCGUAAAGGGCUCGUAGGCGGCCAACUAAGUCGGAUGUGAAAUCCCCAGGCUCAACCUGGGAACUGCAUCCGAUACUGGAUGGCUUGAAUCCGGGAGAGGGAUGCAGAAUUCCAGGUGUAGCGGUGAAAUGCGUAGAUAUCUGGAGGAAUACCGGUGGCGAAGGCGGCAUCCUGGACCGGCAUUGACGCUGAGGAGCGAAAGCUAGGGGAGCAAACGGG
rnacentral:rRNA from 1 species